rnacentral:lncRNA from 1 species
AAGAAGCAAGUCGAAGAGCUGGAGCAGCAGAAUAAGGGGCUGAAGGAACAAACUGAAGAACUCCAGAAACAGAUUGAAGAACUUAAUCUGAGUUCUGCCCAAAUUCUGGCUGCUGGAUUCGAGGCUGCACGGGAACAGUUUGCAUGCUUGUUCCCCGAUCUGGAUCUCAGCAUGGUGUCCCUAAACAACGAGGUGGUGGAUGGGAAGGUGGUUCCCGUCGAAGACUGAUCAAUUUCCC